UGGGGAAUAUUGCACAAUGGGCGCAAGCCUGAUGCAGCGACGCCGCGUGAGGGAUGACGGCCUUCGGGUUGUAAACCUCUUUCAGCAGGGAAGAAGCGAAAGUGACGGUACCUGCAGAAGAAGCGCCGGCUAACUACGUGCCAGCAGCCGCGGUAAUACGUAGGGCGCAAGCGUUGUCCGGAAUUAUUGGGCGUAAAGAGCUCGUAGGCGGUUUGUCGCGUCUGCUGUGAAAACCGAAGGCUCAACCUUGGGCUUGCAGUGGGUACGGGCAGACUAGAGUGCGGUAGGGGUGACUGGAAUUCCUGGUGUAGCGGUGGAAUGCGCAGAUAUCAGGAGGAACACCGAUGGCGAAGGCAGGUCACUGGGCCGCAACUGACGCUGAGGAGCGAAAGCAUGGGGAGCGAACA
rnacentral:rRNA from 1 species